rnacentral:rRNA from 1 species
UACGUAGGGGGCGAGCGUUAUCCGGAAUUAUUGGGCGUAAAGGGCACGCAGGCGGUCCUGCACGUGGAUGGUGACAGCUCCUGGCUUAACUGGGAGAGUGCCUUCCAAACGACAAGACUUGAGAGCGAGAGAGGGAUACGGAACUCCAGGUGGAGCAGUGAAAUGCGUAGAGAUCUGGAAGAACACCAAAGGCGAAGGCAGUAUCCUGGCUCGUCUCUGACGCUCAGGUGCGAAAGCUAGGGGAGCAAACAGG